CACCAGUCCCAGCAAAACACCAGAUCCUGGGGAGGGCCCCUCUGGUGCUGCCAUACUAUCCACUGGGGGGUAGGGGAUGGGGGGUGGAUUGGUCUCAGGGGACACAGUCAGGGAGUAGGGCUCCAUUUCACAUGAAAGGCAAGAGGAAAUCCAGCUGGCCUGCUGCACCAGCCGAGAAGCUGAUCACCAUCAAGGCCCUGGACCUUCCCCUCAGUCACACCAGAGCGGGAAGGUGUGAAUUUAGGACGCUGUUUAUCUGACUUGGCCCAUACUGGGGCAGUACUUCAUUUUGUGGUCGACUGAACCAAGGCACUAUUGGCAUCAGGAUACUGUGGAAGUGAUCAAGACAGAAAGAAGGUGCCCUCCUAACACCAGAGCCCUCUGAACAGGACUCGACCAGACACCCCGGCGGUUUCCCAUUGAGAAAAUAAGUAAUACGCUGAAAUAGCUGCUUUGGGUGGCACACCCAGAGCUGUAUUGCAGUGAAAGCCACUGACUCCUUGUGUACCCCGAAGGUGCAUCUAAACAAGAGGGGAAGUGACAGGUGGAGGCAGCGGUGUUUGUACUCUGAACAGGU